rfam:Picea glauca, whole genome shotgun sequence.
UAUGUAAUGCCUACAACAUAGCAUUAAUGCAUUGGAUUCCAUUAUAACUCCUCAGUUAAGCGCACUUAGGAUAGAGUAGUAUCGGGAUGGGUGAUCGCCCGAGAAUUCCUAGUGUUUUACAUAC